ensembl:lincRNA
CUUUUAUUUUUUUUUAAAUAGUUCUGGGAAAAAAAAAUAAAUAGUUCUGGGAAGUUUGUUGCAAACUUCAAACCAUGUAGAAAUGUUUUAGGAAGUGCACUCUCCCCUUAUCCUCCAGGAUAUUUGGUAAAUAUCCUUCAAAGUAAAAAAAAAUUUUUUUAUUUUUUUUUACAAUUUUUUAAAACAAAACGAGACUGCUCAAAACUGAACUGCUUUGUAACUUACAUUUUAAAGUACUCUGCAAUGGAAGUUGUUCCAAGUUUGGUUCUUGUAAGCCACAGACUUUUCCAUUGCGUGAUUGUGACAUAAUGUUCUCAACUCACUCCUGGUGGAUACUGUUGCCAUGCUUUUUGUUGCCAUUAUAACAAUGUUUUACAAAACAACUUUGAAUGUUUAUCUCUCAGUAAUUGACAUCUGAACUCUUGACCAAAUGCCAUUUUCAAAACUGGAACACCACGGUUAAAAUUAGUAAUAAAGUCCGGUGACUGCGCGGCAGCCCGCGAGGGCAAAGCUCACACGCCGAGCCCGCACCCGGGGCCGCAGUGCACCUGCCCGUUCUGCUCGGAAGCGCCGGGGCGGCGUCGGGGCGGCUCCGGCUGCUCCGCCGGGCGCUGCGGAGAGUCGCCGCGGCCCGGUCCUCCUCGGGGCUGCAGCCGGAGAUCCCCGCGCCGAGCCCCGGGUCUGGGAGCGCAGCGGCGGGGCUCUUAGCGCUGCGGGGACGACGCGCUCUGCAGGCGGCGGGAGCAGACCCGAGACGGGGCGGCGCUCACGGUCCAAGCGCGGAACCUCACAGCUCCACGCUUGUGUUAUUGCUGUUCAUCAAAUCUUGCAUCCCGGUGGUUCUACAGGAAGUAUCAUCGAUGUCUGCUUUGCUUAAGUGAAAGAGUGAAAGAAGGGAAGAAGGAACAACUGACUGUGUUACCAAGUCUUGCUGUGGCUGAGACGCUCCCAUGGUGCUUUCCCAUUACGCAAUUAUGUGAUUGGAUUGAUGAAUUUCACAAGAAGUGAUCAAUCUCAAUGCUAUCCGCACCAGGUGAG